GCCAGCAUGGUGUAGUGGUUUGAGUGUUGGACUAUGACUCUAGAAAUGAGGGUUCAGAUCCCCUCUUGGCC